ACAGAGGUGGCAAGCGUUGUUCGGAAUUACUGGGCGUAAAGGGCGCGUAGGCGGCCUUGCAAGUCCUGUGUGAAAUCCCUCGGCUCAACUGAGGAACUGCACAGGAAACUGCUUGGCUUGAGUUCGGGAGAGGGAAGCGGAAUUCCGGGUGUAGCGGUGAAAUGCGUAGAUAUCCGGAGGAACACCGGUGGCGAAGGCGGCUUCCUGGACCGACACUGACGCUGAGGCGCGAAAGCUAGGGGAGCAAACGGGAUUAGAUACCCCGGUAGUCCUAGCUGUAAACGAUGAGUGCUGGGUGUGGCGGGUAUUAACCCCUGCUGUGCCGAAGCUAACGCAUUAAGCACUCCGCCUGGGGAGUACGGUCGCAAGGCUG
rnacentral:rRNA from 1 species